rnacentral:rRNA from 1 species
CACUCCUACGGGAGGCAGCAGUGGGGAAUUUUGGACAAUGGGCGAAAGCCUGAUCCAGCCAUGCCGCGUGCAGGAUGAAGGCCUUCGGGUUGUAAACUGCUUUUGUACGGAACGAAACGGCCUUUUCUAAUAAAGAGGGCUAAUGACGGUACCGUAAGAAUAAGCACCGGCUAACUACGUGCCAGCAGCCGCGGUAAUACGUAGGGUGCAAGCGUUAAUCGGAAUUACUGGGCGUAAAGCGUGCGCAGGCGGUUAUGUAAGACAGUUGUGAAAUCCCCGGGCUCAACCUGGGAACUGCAUCUGUGACUGCAUAGCUAGAGUACGGUAGAGGGGGAUGGAAUUCCGCGUGUAGCAGUGAAAUGCGUAGAUAUGCGGAGGAACACCGAUGGCGAAGGCAAUCCCCUGGACCUGUACUGACGCUCAUGCACGAAAGCGUGGGGAGCAAACAGGAUUAGAAACCCCUGUAGUCCCAUGAU